UACGUAGGGUGCAGGCGUUAAUCGGAAUUACUGGGCGUAAAGCGUGCGCAGGCGGUCUGCUAAGUGAGGUGUGAAAUCCCCGGGCUUAACCUGGGAACUGCGCUUGUUACUGGCAGGCUUGAGUGUAGCAGAGGGGGGUGGAAUUCCACGUGUAGCAGUGAAAUGCGUAGAGAUGUGGAGGAACACCGAUGGCGAAGGCAGCCCCCUGGGCUAACACUGACGCUCAUGCACGAAAGCGUGGGGAGCAAACAGG
rnacentral:rRNA from 1 species